CACAUCCUCAACUUCCCAACCCCACCCGAAAUUCCCCAAAUCCCCCCAUUUCAUAAAAACCCUCAAACAUUUAAUUCUCCAUUCCAAAAGCAAUUGACACAUUUCCCUGAAAAGUCAUCUUUCCCCAAGAAAGAACGAUUUAAGCAAACAUUGAACGAUGCAAAUAAUAUUCGAUACCGAGGCUAAAGACUCGAAUGUUUCCACGUUGGACGUGUCUUUAAUACAUCUGAAUCCGCCAUUCAGUAGGCUAAUUAAAUAGCCGAGUGAAAAGCUGCACUUAACCGUAAAAAAAGUAAAUUUAGUAUGCACCAACGGCCUGAUUCGCGCCAUUUGUCGAAUGAAAAAGUUUUCGAGCCGAGCUAUCGCUCGUAUAAAAAUCUCUGCGUUUGCAAGGCUCUUUUCGUUCAGCUCGUCGACCUGCCGAAGAGAUUUCCACGUUUCGACCGUUUCUUCUUUCAUGUAGGACGAUUUUCUCCGGUUAUUUUCUCUUUUUCAGUCGCUUCAAAGUAUCUUUUCGUCGUGUAGCUUAAAUUCAUAUUUUAUUUCGAUCGGUGCCUCGGAGAUUUUACUACGACUGUGAUUAAACGGUCAUUGAUGAAAAUAUUCUUCGAAAAAUUUGAAGGAUACCAAAUUGUGUAUCAUUAAUAUUCAAACGAUUCAUUCGCGGUUUAAAAGACCGUACGGAACGUAAUUGCAGUAUUAAAUGAGAUACCGUACAUACGAAAAUCUAUUUGGCUUCAUUGUUGCAACACUAAACCCUAUUACUAUUAUACGCUACAUUACGGCUGAAGAUUAUAAUGUUAAAUAUGAAACGCACUGAAAUAUUAAUACUACUGUACGAAACUCAAUGCGAAUUCAUUGUUAGAAUACCGGGCUAUCAUCAGAUAUUCGCAGAAAUGUGUACUGGAAUAUCGUGAAGCAACACUUCAAGUGAUUUCUAAAAUUCAAUUAUUCACUCACAAUAUUUCACUGGUGGAAACAAUUGCUUGGAAAUCUAUGAACUAGAAGUCCACAAACUAAACUUUUACUUCCCACCAAAAUCAUCGGAAAGAUACCAUGUUAAUCUCUCUACAGCUUUCAAGAAAUAAAGGGUGUUGAUGCAAGCUUAAAAGCUCAGUGCUCCCAUAUUAGGCUACAAAUAAGUGUGUUUUUGAUUGCAGUACUAGUCAAAUGGUAUCCGUGCAGAGAGAUUUGAUUGACCGAGCAUUGUCCGGGGUGAAAGGAGGUAAAAUUCAUCGAACUGACCAAAGUCGACGGAGAAAUGGUUAAAGGCGAAUAGAAACUCUUAGUAUACUGUCGGAGGUUUCACCGGCCUCUCGAACAUCAAUAACGGACAAGAUCAGAACUUAAGGCAAUUGCGCACUGAUACAACAAAGGGCAUCGGCUAACGCGGUUAUACCUCGAUGCCGAUGAGACUCCUCGCUCCUCGGAUAUUUAUUGGACACCCGUUCUGCGCUGAUGUGACCUGAAAGCAGAAAGCGAAGUUAGCGUACAGAAUUUUUUGGUGUUUCUUAAAUUAUUAAGAGGUACUUAGAGACCGCUCGAACAAGUAAUUCUGGCACAACAAUCGAAAAUUAAUUGACGUUGAACGAAGUAAGGAUCAAAGAGUCAACUUUUAUCAUUUAAUCGUACAAUGAUUUCCUGUUUGGAGAAACCUUCGAGAAAAUUGCUGGAGCUUCAGUUAGUAGAGACCUACUUCAUCGAACGACAAUUCUCUACCUAAUUGAUUCCCAGGGACUCUGGUGAAGGCGCCAAUUUCGACGAGUGUUAGCAAAAUUAACCCGCUAGGUGAGUCGAGCAUUGAUUAUUACGAGGUCAAGUAUCAAGCUUCCUUUGAAAGCCACAUUAUCCCAACGGUUUGACAAUCAGCUUCGUCAGACAAUGGUGCCGUUUCGUCGUUUUCCGACCUAACUGUACCGGCCCACGCUUCCUUUCCUAUUCAGCUGGGUCUGUGCGAAUUUUCUACUAUCGUCGCCACUCAUCUUCCUGUCUCUCCUAACUGAUAAUACAACUUCCCGUUCAAUAAUCAGGGUACGGGGUAGAAGUGAACAGUUUAAAAAAUUAAGGGAACGUUCAUUGCGAGUGUAACAAUUAUUGACGAUUUAGAAAUUUGGAACUGUACAAACUUGGAAAGUGUUAUAACAAUUUAAUCAUUUAUUGAACUAGUAAUCUAUCGAUGUAUCAAUCUAUCUAUCUGUCAAUCUACCAAUGUAUCAAUCUAACAUUAUAUCAAUCUACCAAUGUA